UUAUCGGAGAGUUUGAUCCUGGCUCAGGACGAACGCUGGCGGCGUGCCUAAUACAUGCAAGUCGAGCGGGCAGAUGGGAGCUUGCUCCCUGAUGUUAGCGGCGGACGGGUGAGUAACACGUGGGUAACCUGCCUGUAAGACUGGGAUAACUCCGGGAAACCGGGGCUAAUACCGGAUGGUUGUUUGAACCGCAUGGU
rnacentral:rRNA from 2 species